GUGGAACAAAUUAUUUUUGUUAGCAUUCAUUAUUCAACCGUUAUAAUUUUAAUUUGUUGAUAACUAAUUUAAAUUUUCCAUAUUUUUAUACCCAGAGUACCUAAAAUCAUUGAAUAUUGGAAACGCGGUUGCAAAGAAAUCACCGAUAUCCGAUACAUCAAACGGAUAUAAAACCACUUUCAAUCUUUCUCAAGUUAAAAAAAAGGACCAUUGAUUACACAAUAUAAGGGUAUUUUAAAGUUUCUCGAUGUCAAAAAUUAAACUGUAGGAAAUUUAAACUGCACGUUCCGUCCGGACAAUGAUCGACACAAUUUUAAAAUGAUGUCAAUAUUCCGACUUUACACAGUAUUAAGAUGCAUUAUCUGGUGGUUCAAACGUUACCACUUAUUGUCUCGCAUUUGAAUCGAGACCUCUUUCCUAGAGGUUUCUUUUAAAUAUUUUUUAUAACACCGGAACAGCUCUUUCGUGUUUGAUUGUAUCUCACACAGAUAUAACGGAAAAUUUUUGAGUUAUUCCCAUGGCAUGAAAAUAUGACACGGAACACAGUUUUUGUUAAUACCCAAACACCAAACGGGCAUUUUUAUUUUAGUUUGGCUGCGCCCGUACACUGCUUUCUAUUGAAAUAUAUAUUUAGUAGUAUACAUCAGCGCAUCACCAGUAACAUUUCACAUUUCAACACUAAAAUGUCGAUUUUUAUAAGAAUAUUAUUUUGUUAUUUUGUAAUAGGACUAUUAUUAGUGAACGAAAUGCACACGAUGGAGCGGACUACUACUGAACGUGUCAACUGCAGGCAUGCUAAGUAUGCCGAUCGAAAUGAUCUAUAUAAAUAUUUUGGUUGUAAUUGGUUUCCGGCAUAAUGUAGCUUAUGAAGAGGCGCCUAUCAGUUGUAUACUAUAUAUUUUGUAAAUUCUGUACAUGUAAAUAAAUAAAUAAUAAUGUUUAAAACACUGUU